UUCCCAGAAAGGUCAAGAUAAGUGAGGUUAUAAAGAUUUCCAAUAGAAGAUGGAAUCUUACCCGAAAUUUGAUUCAAAUGAAGGUUAAGAUAGGUGAGAUGAGAAAGGUUUCCAAUUGAAGAUGGAAUCGGACCAGAAAAACUAUUAGAUGAAAGAUCGAGAAAGGUGAGAUUCGAAAGGUCUAUAAUCGAAGAAAAAAUGAACUCGCUGAACUGAUUAAGUGAAAGGUCGAGAGAGGUGAUAUGAGAAAGGUUUUUAAUUGAAGACAUGAUUUGACCACUAAAACGAUUUCUUGAAAGGUCUAGGGUGGUUAGAGAAUGAAGGUUUUGAAGACUGCUAUUGGAAUGAAACCGGCCACCUAGGUAGCUGCAACUAAGGUCUAGCUCGAUCACUUCACCGGACUUGACGUUGCACGUGAUUGUAACGUCCCGACCCGCCCACGGCUAAUAGGCCACCCACGCCCGCUCUCUCGGCCCGUGGGCCCCAUCCCGUCUGACGGUCGGUCCGUUAAUUUUCCAAAGGCUCGAAAUCAUUGUUUACUGACCCUGCAAUCACCACCCGACCUUUUCCCAUGCUUUGGCCUCACUCGCACGCUAUCGCGAAUCACUUCCCGAUAGGUCACCCAUCCUUCCACUACUCCAGCUCAAGCACGCUUAACUCUGGAGUUCUUUCAGGAUGUGUUCCGGAAAAGGUAAGUCAACUUUGGUGACAUAGGUAGCCAAAUCAAUUAUCUUAAGCCUUUUUCACAUAUCACAACUCGGGAUGUUACAAUUCACCCCAUCUCAAAGAACGCAACGUCCUCGUUGCGCCCCAUGACAGGUCUUAAGACGCCUCUCAGGUCAGAACUGAGACGGCUAACCAGCUCUGAUACCACUUAUAACGCCCCGACCCGCCCACGGCUAAUGGGCCACCCACGCCCGCUCUCUCGGCCCGUGGGCCCCAUCCCGUCUGACGGUCGGUCCGUUAAUUUUCCAAAGGCUCGAAAUCAUUGUUUACUGACCCUGCAAUCACCACCCGACCUUUUCCCAUGCUUUGGCCUCACUCGCACGCUAUCGCGAAUCACUUCCCGAUAGGUCACCCAUCCUUCCACUACUCCAGCUCAAGCAUGCUUAACUCUGGAGUUCUUUCAGGAUGUGUUCCGGAAAAGGUAAGUCAACUUUGGUGACAUAGGUAGCCAAAUCAAUUCUCUUAAGCCUUUUUCACAUAUCACAACUCGGGAUGUUACAAUUUCCCACCAAAGGUUAUCGGAAUGGGAAACCUGAAAGAACUCCAGAGUUAAGCGUGCUUGAGCUGGAGUAGUGGAAGGAUGGGUGACCUAUCGGGAAGUGAUUCGCGAUAGCGUGUGAGUGAGGCCAAAGCACGGGAAAAGGUCGGGUGGUGAUUGCAGGGUCAGUAAACAAUGAUUUCGGGUCUUAGAAAAUUAACGGACUGACCGUCAGACGGGAUGGGGCCCACGGGCCGAGUGAGCGGGCGUGGGUGGCCCAUUAGCCGUGGGCGGGUCGGGGCGUUAUAAGUGGUAGGGAUUGUCGGAGUAGGCCAUUUGGUGCACGGGGAGUAGCACCAGCAGCACCAGCAGGACAGGCAGCACCAGCAGGACAGGCAGCACCAGCAGCACAGCCAGCACCAGUAGCACAGGGAGCGCAGGCAGCACCAGCUGCACCAUACGCACCAGGAGCUUGCUUCACUUGUGGCCAGUUUGGCCAUAUCUCCAGGUUUUGCCCGACUAAAGGGCCUGGGGCCAAGCGUCAAGCCAUCACCCCGCGUGUUUAUGCUCUAGGAGAGGCCAAUGGAGCUGAGCCGAUAGCCGGUAUGUAUCCUUAUCAUUUCUUUUUUUUUUUUUUGAGUAAUUGUGUUUUGGUGGAUAUCUAGUUAGAAAAAAAAAAAAAAGUCGACUUUUUUUGUGACAACCCGCCCCGUGGGAACUACCCGCCCCUUGGGCCCCAGGCUCACAGCGCUGCAGCGCACCGACCCCAACCCCUCAAUUAUGAGUUCUCUCUAACUCCAUAAUUAGGUUGUUGGUGAGCCUCGAACCCAGGACCUCACCCUUUAACAGCAUUCCCACAGGACAAGCUGUCACCAAUUGAUCUGCAGAUCAAUUGGUGACAGCUUGUCCUGUGGGAAUGCUGUUAAAGGGUGAGGUCCUGGGUUCGAGGCUCACCAACAACCUAAUUAUGGAGUUAGAGAGAACUCAUAAUAGAGGGGUUGGGGUCGGUGCGCUGCAGCGCUGUGAGCCUGGGGCCCAAGGGGCGGGUAGUUCCCGUGCUUUGGCCUCACUCACACGCUAUCGCGAAUCACUUCCCGAUAGGUCACCCAUCCUUCCACUACUCCAGCUCAAGCACGCUUAACUCUGGAGUUCUUUCAGGAUGUGCUCCGGGUUGUUACAAUUUCAGCAUGGGAAAAGGUCGGGUGGUGAUUGCAGGGUCAGUAAACAAUGAUUUCGAGCCUUUGGAAAAUUAACGGACCGACCGUCAGACGGGAUGGGGCCCACGGGCCGAGAGAGCGGGCGUGGGUGGCCUAUUAGCCGUGGGCGGGUCGGGACGUUACAAGUGGUAUCAGAGCUGGUUAGCCGUCUCAGUUCCGACCUGAGAGGCGUCUUGAGACCUGUCGGGGGCGCAACGAGGACGUUGCGUUCUUUGAGAGGGGGUGAAUUGUAACAUCCCGAGUUGUGAUAUGUGAAAAAGGCUUAAGAGAAUUGAUUUGGCUACCUAUGUCACCAAAGUUGACUUACCUUUUCCGGAACACAUCCUGAAAGAAUUCCAGAGUUAAGCGUGCUUGAGCUGGAGUAGUGGAAGGAUGGGUGACCUAUCGGGAAGUGAUUCGCGAUAGCGUGCGAGUGAGGCCAAAGCAUGGGAAAAGGUCGGGUGGUGAUUGCAGGGUCAGUAAACAAUGAUUUCGAGCCUUUGGAAAAUUAACGGACCGACCGUCAGACGGGAUGGGGCCCACGGGCCGAGAGAGCGGGCGUGGGUGGCCCAUUAGCCGUGGGCGGGUCGGGGCGUUAUAGUGAUACCCUCCCAAGUACAACAAUCGCUGCUAUUCCGCCAUGAUUCCGUUUUCGGAUGACGCUUUACUAUAUCAUCAUCAAAAUAACAAUCAUAAGCAAAGGAAGAGUUUAGAACCUCAAACUCGUUCUUCAACAGAAGAAGUGCAUCCCUUUGAUCCGGACGACACAAGUGCGUAGUUGGAACCGCAGACACGUCCCCAUAACUGUAGCCGAAUAAAAAAAGUAUAGAAAGAGUAAGAGAAAUGGUACUCGUUAAGUUCCAAAAGCCUUUCAUUCUUCUUUAAGCUUAUUUAACUUUCUUGAAUAUCAAAAACUGAAAGAGCAAAAAGAAAAGGGAAAUUGGUGAUGAGUAACAUGCUUCCAUGGCCAUUUCUUUAUAUACACAAUAAUAGACUCUGUAUUUACUCCACACAAAACAAAAUCCACAGAGAAAAAUACAUUAUUCGUCACGUCGAAAGCAAAAUCUUUGUGUCGGAUAGUCAAUUUUCUACACAUAUUGGUCCCCUACACUAAUUACAUGAAUUUUCAAAAAAAAAAGAAUUGUCUAAACCAAAGAAGACGUAAUUUAGGUUUAUAUUUGGAUUUAAACUAAGAGCACCCGCAAUGGGAAUCUUUAAGGAUGAGUCCUUAGGAAAAAAAUAAUUAAAUAAUCGGUGAAUCCCACCAAAAGUUAAGGAUUCAAUCUUUAAAAUUCCUAAAUAAGGACUCUUUUUUAGUGAAUCCUUGCACUAUUUGCGGGUCCCGACGACAUGUGGCGAUUCGCGAUUGGUUGAUAUUUAUUUUUUUUUAUCUAAAAAAAUAAAAUAAAUAAUAAUACUUAAAAAAUCAAAAUAUAUUUUUUCUAAAGAUUCGCCUUUGAGUAACACUAUUGUGGGUGCUCUAACGUAUACUACGACCCAUGCAUAUUGACCCAAAAGUACUAACGUUUACGAUUACGAGACCCAUGCAUAUUUGCAUAUAAUGUAGUCUUUCGAUUUGAUAGUACAAGUUUUAUCUUUUUUACUUAUUCUAUUUAAAAAUUCAAGAUUUUAUGACAUUCCUUGCUUUAAAAAAAGAACUAAUUUAACUACUAAACUAGCGUAAUUUUGAUAGAAUUUCAAAAUAAGAAUCAUGCAUCUCCUAUAUUAAUAAGAAGAAAACAAACAUCAACCUUUUCAAAAAAAAUCAACGGCGAACGGUCUUAUUUUUAUUUUUGGUUUAUUCCUCGUGACUUCCAAAAUGAAAAAUAUAUGCAAAAUGACAAAAAGAUUAAACUCUUUACUAAGAAUCAAUCAAAAUGAACAAAAAUAUCAAUCUGCAUGAGAACAUUCUUCAUAACAGAAAAAUCAACUCUUCGUCGUGAAUGUACCGGCGAUCGAGCCAUAUGGCCCAUAUCAUAGUGAGUACAUUCUUCAACUAAUAUUCCUCAGGGCGAGAUCGUCAGGAAGAAACCAAGAUUUUACUCGAUCGCUUUCUUUUUGUUUCUUCAAUAUAUGGCUGUAGUAACCAAAAACAAAUAAAUAAAUGUUGAUGAACCAAUCAGUUUCCGCAUUUUUUUCUUUCUCACGUCAAUAAUAACAAGUUUUGGUGAUAAUCAUCUCACUUUCAUUAGAUAAAAUAUACAGAAAAGAGACAACUAGUGAUGAGAAACCAAAACUUCCAUACGGAAGAGGCUCGUUCAGAUUUUCUUAUUAUGUUUUUCCCCACUUUCUAGAUUAAUGUAAUUUUGUAAUAUACAUUAUUAAUCGUUUCAUAUAUAGUUUCAAGCAACCUACGAGAGACUUCCAAGUCCACAAGAAGGUUAGGGGAAUCAUCUACCUUCAUCCAUGAACCAUCUUCACCACGCGGUUGAACCACGAAGCUGACUCCUUUCACGUCAGAAUCUACCACCAGCUCCGAAACGUAAUAGGCUGGUACGUGAGACACUCCUAGGAACACUCUCUCGCUUCUUGGUUUCUCCAGAACCUUUCUUGAUCUUAGUACAUCAGUUGACUUCACAUUCUCUGCAUACACAUUGUACACUGGGAGAACAGAGUCUUCAAGCUGUGUCUGUCUCCAUUCUAGCUUAACCUUAAGGAUCCUAGAACCGGAUUUACCCAGUACAAGCUCUAAGUUAUGAGCCUCGAUUACCCAUGAUGUCGCUGGAGGUAAGGAAACGAGGUUUUGCUGGAGUAGCUGAACAUGAUGAUCUUUGAUUGAGAUGUGAUCCAUGAUUCCCUCCUCCGUUAUAAGAUGCCUCUCUAGUACUAAACAAAUUCAUGUGCUCACCGUUAUACGUUUGCAAACAAAUAGUGAGCUGAAUGAUAUCAGUGUUGUCUUCCUUGAACUCUAGGAUUGGCUAACAUUAAUAACACAACAAAGGCACCCAUCAGAUGAGAGAAGAGACAAAAUAUUAUAUGCGCAGUUAAAGCGAGGACGAUAAGAUGGUUGAACCUGAAGACUUUGGCAAGAAAUGUUGUACCAUGGAGCAUCAGAUAACUGGCGACCCUCGAGUGAAACAUGGUAACCAAAGCUCUGGAUAAACGAGAAAAGAUAUUUUCAGAACAUAACUUAACAUAAAUCAUCGCCAAGACAGUCGAUGUAUACUUUACCUGAUUGAAGUCAGAGUAAAAAGGCAAGACUUGUGGAUAUGUUUGGACUACUCCCCAUGACUUCUCAACAAGUGACCACCAUCUGAAGGGAAAACGAAUGAACGAUAAUAAGAUGACAAAGAAAUGCCAAUUUAUUUUACAAGCAAACAGACAAAAGAAGUAAUACUUAUUCUGAGCUGUAUGAAAAUUAGGAGGCUGUGCAGUCUCAUAUACCCAUCCAGGAGCGAAAAUGGCAGCUGAUACAUUGUUUCUCUUCAGCAAAUCAAGAGCAGUAUUAACCUAUAAUAUAUAGAUUAAUGAGACAAUGAUUGAAUCUUUAAGCUUCUGAGAUUUCAGAUUGUUGAUUUGGAACCAUAUCUUUGAGCAUCUACUCAAUUGAGUUGAAUUGUGUUGUUGUUGUACAGGGAAGAAGUUGUAGAGAUUAGAUUGUGGAGAAGCUAUGGUAGAGCAAUGGUUGGAUCUGAGAAGAGAGCUCAGCUCAUGGAGAUUGGAGAAACUGUUAUUAUUCUUACUCACUAGGUUUCAAGUUAGAGUAAUGCUUUUUUUUUUUGUGUUUACUUAUCUUAUUUAGGGUACAUUGGUAGCAAAGCAGAUUGGUGAAAGAAACUCUUGUAGUAAUCUGACAGACAUAUCAACAUGUACUUUUGUCAAGUGUUUAAUGUAUUAUCGUUUGUGUAUCAAUGCCUGCAGUUCCAAAUAGAGUUUUUUUCUCCUUUUUUGUUAUCAGCAAUUAGUCUUUUGCGUAAUCAGGUCUCAAAGUUCUCUUUCCAGGACAAUGUACAUCAGAGACAUUCAUGUUCUUCCAUAAUUUACGUUUGGAAGACCAAACCCACCAAGCUAUUGUUUGGCUGUUUGCUUAUAUGACUUUGCAUCAAUCUUUAUCGUGUUGAAGCUCACGCAUCUUCUUCUGAAGAAGAUUGUUUCUGUAGAUUAAUAAAGAAGGGAACAGAAUGGGGGCAAGGCAUGGGCCUAUUCAUCAUUUGUGUUGGCUUGAUCUUUUCAUUGCUACUUACAUGAUUGGCUCGUGGGUUCGAGUCCAAGCUCGUAGGUCACACACAUCAUGAUCAUGUAGUGGCUUAUCUUUGAGAUUUUGGUAUUGAGCUUUAAGUAUAAUGUUGAAAAAUCAAAGGAUAACGUACCAGAGGGAUUGUGAAAGUGACCAAUCAGUUGGCUGUUUCUUUUUUGAGAUCGUGGACACCAAAACAAAGAGAAGCAAGACUUGGAUUCGAUUAAAAAGUCAGUCAAGAAAAAUAUAAAAAGAAAGAUCCAAGAGGAAUUUUCUUAUAAAAUGGAUAAUGAUCGUUAAACCCAAAUUUUAGUUGAGUAUAUAUAUAUUUAGUUAUUGUUAAUUGUUAAUUUAGAUUAUACAUAUUUAAUCAAACAAUCAAAGGUUGAAAUAGAAACAAGAGAGUGUGGACAUGAAGAAAACAAGACCCCUUUAGGCCUUUACUAGCCAUUUCUCUUCCUCUUCUACUCAUCAUUCAUUAUCAAUGAGAAUAUUACCAAUCACAAGAUAAAUCAACGCAAACUUUUUUUUUUUUUUUUUGUAUUGUCACAUUCGAAAAUCAUAAGCUUAAAACCUUUUGAACUUUGUAUAUACACAAAAUGGAAUCUUGAUAAUUAUAUUUGCAAAGUUUAUAGUUUCUAUGAGUUAAUGUGUCUCAUUGAUAUGAACAAUCGAAAUAUCCAUAUAUAAUAUGUACAUCCUUUUCUAAAGCGCUGUGUAACUGUGUUGAUUAUAGCUUUUAUCUGGAUCAUCUGUUCAUUGCUCAUCUCACGUCUAAACAGUUGAUGUUAAGAUUCACAAGAGGGGAAAAGACGACACAUCUUUGACUGUGCUUGUAAUUUUCAGCGUAAGAAACAUAGUUGUUGUUCAAUUACAGAGAAACAAAGAAAUUUGCUAAAACGUAAAAAAAAAUAGAGAUAGAGAAAAAACACACCAAGCUAAACCAGAAACGAUAUCCCAAAUCUUAUUUGAAAUUAUGAUAGACAUAGUAAUUGCUUCGGAUUUCAUCUUUCAGAUUCCGCAGGUAGCUUAUAAAAGACCUGUACCAAAAAAAGAAAAGGUUAACUCAGGUGAUUUCACUAUUAAUAUUUUUGUUUCUUCAAAUGUUUGCUAACAAGUUGACUUAAAACUCUAGAAUAUAUUACCUCUUUAAUGAGUUGUGCUGCUGCUGAUUCUGCGCUUGUUUCGGGCAAAAGGGUCGAUGAACCACUCUGGUUUGUAGGAAAAGAGUAUGUAACCAAUCACCCAUCCAAAGGCAAUACCAGGUAUGACUCCUAUUACAGCUGCUAUCCAACUCAACACCUCUUCUUCUUCUUCAUCCUCUGAUUCCGGUGUUUCAUGCGGUGUUGGCAUGUGGAUAUCUCUGCAAUCUUCGUCAAGAGAAGGGCCAAAAAGUCCCGGAUUAUCCUCAAAGUAAGUGCAGUCCAGCCUUUGAAACUGAGUGCCUCCUGGUACUAGACCUGUAAGCUUGUUAUGAGAGAAGUUCAUGUACGAAAGGAACGAGAGGCUCCCUAGCUCUUGCGGAAUUUCUCCUGAAAGCUUGUUUUGGGAAACGUCUAGUGACUCAAGAGCCGUCAGGUUUCCAAGAGAUGAAGGGAUGUGGCCAGUGAAAGCAUUGUUCGACAAGUUAAGCAUAAGAAGCCCUUUUAAUAGACCGAUGGACCUUGGGAUCUCUCCUUCAAAUUUGUUUCCUGAAAAGUCAAGUGCUGUGUAGAUCUUUAGGAUACGUACAAACUCCAUCUCUAUACCUUUAUUCAUCAACACCAUUGAAUCAUGGUAAUAGGAACCUCCCAUGUAAUUGUCAAACCGCUGAUCAUAAUUGUCCCCCAAUGAUGACAUAGCACUCCACUUCACAAAGUAGUCUGAUGACAAAGAUCCAUUGAAGUGAUUGUGCGAUAUGUCGAUGAUUUGCAACUUAGGGAACGAAGUUUGAAGUACCGGUCCAUGGAACGCAUUGGAGCGUAAUACAAGAAUUUUUAACUCUCGUAGAGAAUGCAACCAGAACGGAAACGUAUCAUUGAAAAUGUUGCUUUCCACGUUCAGAACUUCAAGACUAGAGAAAUGGAUCAAAGAUCUUGGAAGCCUUCCUGUCAGUUGGUUAUGACCAACGUCAAGCGUUCUUAAGCUUUCAAAUAUAGUCUCCGGAAGACCUCCAUGAAGACGAUUUUGACGAAGGUUUAGAUAUAAAAGAGAACGUUUGAGAUUUCCCAGACAACGAGGGAUUAAACCGACGAAUUUGUUGUUCGAUAAAUCAAGAGUGUAUACAUAGCGCAAAUCACAUAUGAAAGAGGGAAUCUUUCCCGUGAAAUUGUUGUUGGAGGCAAUCAAGUUUACGAUAGAAACUGUUGUUGAGUUUCCGAAGCCAGUGAAAGUGUUGUUGGAAAGAUUCAGGUAAGCCAGCUUUGGUAGCGUCCAUAACCAGCCAGGCACUUGACCUUUGAUUUUAUUGUUGGAAAUGUCUAGCCACUCCAUAUGUUGGUUUCUUGGAAAUUCUGGAAACUCGGUGAUACCGCAGCCUGACAAUUCCAAAUAACGCAGCAAAGGGGGACCUGAAACUGGACUCUUGUUUGUGGCAGAAACAGGGUUGCCUGAGAGAACCAACCUCUCGAGCCUCUUAAAAUAUGACAAGAAAUCAUUCAAGUCAAUGGCAGUGGUCGUGUUCAAAUAGGAUAGGUCAAGAUCUUCCAGCCUCUUGAGAUGCGAGAAGAUGUUAAAGUCCACUGGAGCUUGUGUCUUGUAGUGGGAAAGGUCAAGUUGGACAAGGUUGGUAAAUUUGGAUAUCGCGGCCGGGAUUGGCCCUCUCAAGUUGUUAUUGCCAACGUCUAACUUUCGUAGCUGAGGUGGUGAAGAUAUAUUCCCAAACUCAAGAAUACCGUUUAAUUGAUUAUCAGACAAAUCAACAAUAUCCAUAGAAGGAAUGGUGAAGAGAGAAGAAGGCAGGGUCCCAGUGAAAGCGUUGCUACUUGCUAAAAAAAUCGUCAAUUUGGAUAGUGAAGUGAUGUUAUGAGGAAUUGUUCCUGUGAACUGAUUGUAAUAGAGUCCUAAAUAUGACAACUUUGUCAAAUUCAGUAGUGCAAUGGGAAAGCUUCCAUUGAGCCUAUUGAAACCAACACGUAAGGUGGUCAACUGGUUUAGAUUGCCAAAAGAAGAUGGGAUUUCACCAACAAUAUUGUUCCUAGAAAGGUCAAGAUAAGUGAGGUUAUAAAGAUUUCCAAUAGAAGAUGGAAUCUUACCCGAAAUUUGAUUAAAAUAAAGGUUAAGAUAGGUGAGAUGAGAAAGAUUUCCAAUCAAAGAUGGAAUCGGACCAGAAAGAAGGUUCCAUGAAAGAUCGAGAUAGGUGAGAUAAGAAAGGUUUCCAAUAGAAGAUGGAAUCUGACUCAAAAAAGGAUUAACAGAAAGAUCAAGAUAGGUGAGAUGAGAAAGGUUUCCAAUUGAAGAUGGAAUCUGACCAGAAAAACGAUUAGAUGAAAGAUCGAGAAAGGUGAGAUAAGAAAGGUCUACAAUCGAAGAAGGAAUGAACUCGCUGAAACCAUUUUGCGAAAGG
rnacentral:lncRNA from 1 species